AUCACCAUGGUAACUUGCAAGUAACUCACUGUGCUUUGAUAUCAAACUACCUGAAUUUCUAAUUUAGUGAUGAAAGAUUUCUGAACAUAGUCAAGUAUUUAUGGUAGCCAGUGUGUGAGUCAAGAUUAGAUUGAUCGCUCCUGAUUUCAGGAUAAGUGUUGCUUUGUGUUUCAAUUCAACAAAACCUAGGCCUAGUAGUUCUUGUGAGGAGUCAUAGGAUUGAUGAGGUUGAGACACAUUAUG
rnacentral:lncRNA from 1 species